rnacentral:rRNA from 1 species
AGCAGCCGCGGUAAUUCCAGCUCCAAUAGCGUAUAUUAAAGUUGUUGCAGUUAAAAAGCUCGUAGUUGAAUUUCGGGGUUCUACCGUUGGUCGGGCUAACCAGUCUGUACUAGCGUGUAAAAUUCCUACCUUCUGGAGAACCAUCAUGUUAUUAAUUUAGCGUGGUGGGAAACCAGGACCUUUACCUUGAAAAAAAUUAGAGUGUUCAAAGCAGGCUUACGUCUGAGUACAUUAGCAUGGAAUAAUAGAAUAGGACGGUGGUCCUGUUUUGUUGGUUUCUGAAUCGCCGUAAUGAUUAAUAGGGAUAGUUGGGGGCAUUAGUAUUCAAUUGUCAGAGGUGAAGUUCUUGGAUUUAUUGAAGACUAACUUCUGCGAAAGCAUUUGCCAAGGAUGUUUUCAUUUAAUCAAGAACGAAAGUUAGGGAUCGAAGACGAUCAGAUACCGUCGUAGUCUUAACCAUAAACUAUGCCGACUAGGGAUCGGACGAUGUUAAAUUUUAUUGUACUUCGUUCGGCGCCGU